CCUUGGAUAGUUUAAAAAAACGUAGUGUUGAAACCCCUGAAUUGGGGUUCCCCCCCCGGGGG
rnacentral:tRNA from 1 species